ensembl:snRNA U6 U6 spliceosomal RNA
GUGCUUGAUUUGGGGGUGCAUAUAGUAAAAUUGGAAUGAUACAGAAAUUAGCAUGGCCCCUGUGCAAGGGCGAGACACAAAUUUGUGAAGCAUUACAUAUUAAA